AGAGAUUGAUUUGCUUCUUUUUUCAUGAUUCUUCAGGGCAGGAUGGACUUCACAGCAGAAUAGAUUGUUUAACAAGAUUAACAAGAUUUUACACAGUGAUAGGCUGUCAAGGCUGACCUAUGAAUCGAAUAUAAAUGAGGCUGUUUUGAGAAGAAAUCAAGUGGACAAAACUGCAAAAAGGGUUAGACAGGCAUUAGCUAGUAUCAGAUGGGAUCCAAAAUUAACACAAUGGUUACAUGGUGUUCUGUUAGAUAAUUUGAAUACAUCAUUACUGGCAGCGUAUAUAGAAGUUUUACAGACACUGCGGUCUAAGGUUCCAAAUUUGAUU